rnacentral:misc_RNA from 1 species
AAUUCUCAACCUCACCAGUUUUGUAACGAGACAGGUGAAGGCUUGGAUGUGGGGGUUUUGCAGGCUGCCUCAGUGCUGGUCUGCUCCCCUGAAAUGCAUUAGCGGGCUCAUUGAGCUUCGGUCUAUUGGUGUGAUAAUUAUCUACGCCGUGGAUUGGAACUCAUGCUUGCUUCUAACCGUCCGCAAGGACAAUUUACUUGACCA